rnacentral:rRNA from 1 species
UGGGGAAUUUUGGACAAUGGGCGAAAGCCUGAUCCAGCAAUGCCGCGUGUGUGAAGAAGGCCUUCGGGUUGUAAAGCACUUUUGUCCGGAAAGAAAUCCUUGGCUCUAAUACAGUCGGGGGAUGACGGUACCGGAAGAAUAAGCACCGGCUAACUACGUGCCAGCAGCCGCGGUAAUACGUAGGGUGCAAGCGUUAAUCGGAAUUACUGGGCGUAAAGCGUGCGCAGGCGGUUUGCUAAGACCGAUGUGAAAUCCCCGGGCUCAACCUGGGAACUGCAUUGGUGACUGGCAGGCUAGAGUAUGGCAGAGGGGGUAGAAUUCCACGUGUAGCAGUGAAAUGCGUAGAGAUGUGGAGGAAUACCGAUGGCGAAGGCAGCCCCCUGGGCCAAUACUGACGCUCAUGCACGAAAGCGUGGGGAGCAAACAGGAUUAGAUACCCUGGUAGUCCACGCCCUAAACGAUGUCAACUAGUUGUUGGGAUUCAUUCCUUAGUAACGUAGCUAACGCGUGAAGUUGACCGCCUGGGGAGUACGGUCGCAAGAUU